rnacentral:rRNA from 1 species
AUUGAACGCUGGCGGCAGGCCUAACACAUGCAAGUCGAACGAGUGGCGGACGGGUGAGUAAUGUCUGGGAAACUGCCUGAUGGGGGGGGAUAACUACUGGAAACGGUAGCUAAUACCGCAUACCUUCAGAUGUGCCCAGAUGUGAUUAGCUAGUGGGGGGGGUAAAGGCUCACCUAGGCGACGAUCCCUAGCCGGCGUGAGAGGAGGACCAGCAACACUGGAACGGAGACACGGCCCGGACUCCUACGGGAGGAAGCAGUGGGGAAUAUCGGACAAUGGGCGCAAGCUUGACGCAGACAGGCCGCGUGGAUGAAGAAGGCCUCCGGGUGGUAAAGUACGUUCUGCGGGGAGGCGGUACCCAAAGAAGAAGCACCGGCUAACUCCGUGCCAGCAGCCGCGGUAAUUC